GCUCGGGACAACUGGGCCAAUUACUUCUCCCGCAUCUUCCCUGUCUCGGGUGAGAGUGGCAGUGACGUACAGCUGCUGGGCGUGUCUCACCGGGGACUGAGGCUGCUGAAGGUGACCCAAGACCCCAGCUUCCACCUGGACCAGCUGAAGACACUCUGCUCCUACAGCUAUGCCGAGGUGUUGGCUGUGCAGUGUAGGAGCACCUCCACCCUGGAGCUGUCACUGAAGAGUGAGCAGCUGAUCCUGCACACGACCUGGGCGAGGACCAUGAAGGCCAUGGUGGAACAGUUCCUGAGUGAGCUCAAGAAGGACUCCGGUUACGUCAUCGCCCUGCGCAGCUACAUCACCGAUGACAACAGUCUCCUCAGUUUCCACCGUGGGGACCUCAUUAGGCUGCUG
rnacentral:lncRNA from 1 species